UACAGAGGGUGCAAGCGUUGUUCGGAAUUACUGGGCGUAAAGCGCGUGUAGGCGGCUUGGUAAGUCAAAUGUGAAAGCCCUGGGCUCAACCUAGGAAUCGCAUGUGAUACUGCUAAGCUCGAGUAUCGGAGGGGAUGGUGGAAUUCCCGGUGUAGAGGUGAAAUUCGUAGAUAUCGGGAGGAACACCUGUGGCGAAGGCGGCCAUCUGGAAGAUUACUGACGCUGAGACGCGAAAGCGUGGGGAGCAAACAGG
rnacentral:rRNA from 1 species